rnacentral:misc_RNA from 1 species
GAUGAAGAACGCAGCGAAAUGCGAUACUUGGUGUGAAUUGCAGAAUCCCGUGAACCAUCGAGUCUUUGAACGCAAGUUGCGCCCGAAGCCAUUAGGCCGAGGGCACGCCUGCCUGGGCGUCACACGUCGUUGCCCCCCCAUCUACUCCUUCGGGAUUGCGGGGGGCGGAUGAUGGCCUCCCGUGCGCCUCGUCGCGCGGUUGGCAUAAAUGCCAAGUCCUCGGCGACGCACGCCACGACAAUCGGUGGUUGCGAAACCUCGGUUGCCCGUCGUGUGCGGUCGUCGCGCAUCGAGGGCUCGAAAAAAUUGCCGAGCUCCGGCUCGGCUUUCAACGCGACCCCAGGUCAGGCGGGGUUACCCGCUGAAUUUAAGCAUAUCAAUAAGCGGAGGA